rnacentral:rRNA from 1 species
CAGCCGCCACGGUAAUACGUAGGGUGCAAGCGUUAAUCGGAAUUACUGGGCGUAAAGCGUGCGCAGGCGGUUUUGUAAGACAGAGGUGAAAUCCCCGGGCUCAACCUGGGAACUGCCUUUGUGACUGCAAGGCUAGAGUACGGCAGAGGGGGAUGGAAUUCCGCGUGUAGCAGUGAAAUGCGUAGAUAUGCGGAGGAACACCGAUGGCGAAGGCAAUCCCCUGGGCCUGUACUGACGCUCAUGCACGAAAGCGUGGGGAGCAAACAGGAUUAGAUACCCCAGUAGUCCCUGUCUCUUAUAC